AAAUGCCAUCAGAGCACAGGCUGGCCUACACUCAGGAUUCUGGGAUGUGACCUUCCAGUGCUCAAAGGGAACUUAUAUACAGGAAGACUGACCUUCCCUCACCUCCAGAUGAUGAGGAGCUCAUCCUUCUUACAGACUUAAUAGUAUCCACAAAGGUGGACUCAUGUUACAAUGCAACAGUGACUGACUUCCCGUCCAUCAUGAAGGCUCUCCUGAAGUUGCUGGAACAGGCUGCCUUGUGGAACGUGUAUCGCUGUGAGUAAGAACCCUGGAACGAGAAGCUGAAUCUUUCCUCAAAAGCCUGAUGGAUUGCUUUCCUUUUGUUUUGGCUCAAGGAGGAUUCUGACACCAUUUGUUCAGCUCUCCACACAGUUGCUGAGCCCUGCAUUUCUGAGAAAGAAAGAAAGAAAUCCUGCAAUACAGCAGAAUAUGUCCCUUCAAGUAGGAGGAGGCAGUAAUGGGACCAGCAGGUCGUAUAAAGAAAUAUUGCAUUAUAAAAUGUUUGUUGCUCACAACAUUUGAACCUGUAAUUUUGAGAAUAUUGUUUCCUGUUCUUCUGUGAAAUUUCAAAAGGAAACAUUCCCAGGGCUGUAAGAUCAGGGCCAGAUAAUUAUCAUACAUGCAUUUGGGAAAGUAACAGUCCUGUGUAUCAAUGUACGGUGUUUUUCUCAAUGAAACCGUGACUUCAGUAGUCUGCAUAAAGGAGACGACUGCUUCAUUUGCUCCCAACAGCCUAUUUCCUUACAGAGCAGUAGACUUCAUAGAAACUUAUCAGUUCACAGGCCACUUUUAGAUAGGAUUGAUCUUCCCAGUGCUUUGUAGGCUGAGAUUGCAAUCUUGCCGAAAAAUAGUCAGGAAGCCACAGAAACAAUAAAAUCUUUGGAAGGAAAGGGAUAACCCAGAGCGGAUGGCAAGUUGAGUCAGUUCCUUGUGGCUGCUCUUCCUAAUUCAGGAGUUGACUCAAAUAUUUCUCCUGUUUCACAACUUGACUUUUUCCCCACUGCUGGCCAGCAGCCAGCAUUCCUGUCAGGCACAAGCAGUGGGUCACAGCCCUUCCAUGGACAAAAAAGGUGCUGUGAAGAUAAAAUCUUAACUGCUUUCUGGCCAAGAUGAGGCUGCAGCCAUCAUUUACUCAUUCCUUGUCUUUCAUGCUGUUGCAGCUGGGUUCGUACAUCUGAAAGAUGGGAGAUAAUAACAUGUGAAGACUAAAUGAACUUUUCUAUACUGAAAACAAUAGGGAAGAAGCUUUGGGAGCAGAUACAGCAAAACCGGUUGUGGAAAAACUACCUUAUGCAAAAGUGCAUGGAAUUCUCAUGAUUCAAUUUUUACAGCACUUUUUCUUUUUGAAGACACUUUUGAAGUGUUGCAAACAUUUUAUUCACGUUACUGCCACUGGAAGUAAGAAAGUAGCAUUAUUCUAAUAUUAUAUAUUGUAAUAUUGAGAAAGAGACUGUCAAGCUACAGAAAAACAGUGAUUGAAUUAGGACUGCAUACUCAGAAUAUCAAGGGAUCAACUCUCGCCCACAGCUUAUAGUUACAUUUUUUGCUGAACUAGGCCGUGCAGGUUCUCAAAUAGACUCCAGGAACUGACCACCUCUGUAAAAACACAAAAGCAAAGUGAUCCCUGCCUGAUCGAUAGGGAAUUGAAGUUCGAAUAUAUUUUGUCACACAGGAAGUUCAAGGAAAAGGCAGGAACUGAACCAGAUGUUUGAAGGUCUGGCCCAAUGCCUUAAGCACAAAAUAAUGCUUUUACCUCAUAAAAGUGCUCUAGACUAAAACCGAUCUCUCUCACCUUUUACAAUCUGUUUCAGUAAAGAGAAUAGAGAGAUAUCUAGAAGUAUGCUAUUAACCCAAAGACUACUCCGUGAUAAGAGAACAUCCUUUGAUGACUGUGGAAUGUUAUAUAGCUUUUACUUACAACAUUAAAAAAAAAGAGAGAGAGAGAAAAAAAGUGUCUGUUUUGUGGAGACAAUUUCCAGACUUGGAUCUGCUUUCCUCUUUUCCCUCCCUAAACUUGUUUUUUGGGGGGGGAUUUUUUUGUUUUUGUUCUUAAUACGUUUCUAACAAGAUUACUCAGGAUUGACUGACAUGGAUAUGGAUGGCACUGAAUAAGCUGGACAACAUAAGUACUUUCUUAUACACUAUGAAUUUUUUUGUGACAACUUGGUAGGGAGAAUGCACGGCUCCAUUAUCCACACUUCCACACUCUUGUGCUGUCAUGUCUCCAUCCCUGUGGAUGCAACCUGGCCUCGAUAAUUAGCCUUGGCUCCUGUGGGAACAGAAAUGUGCUGACUAAACGACUGUUCCUGUUAUCUGGGUUCCCUACUGUGCUGUGAGUUCUUUGCUUUAAUUUCAUUAAAUGCCUUAAAGUUCAGUUGUGUGCAAAAUGUCUU